AUACAGCGGGCAAGGUGGGGCUCCUGUCUGUUCCAUAAGCUGUGAAGCCUUGUCGGAGAGGAGCUGGAGGUAGCCAGUGUGGAGGGCCAGGAAGGAGGUGGUCCAUAAAAUAAGGGUUUCCAGGCCCCACCUGGGGCUGAUCCUCACAAGCAUUCAUUCCUGAAGUGCACAGGAAGUGGCAAAGGCACGAGCAUCAGCAGCUUUACUGAGCACCUGCAGUGGGCCACGCUCGGUCUAGGGAGCACGAACCCCCAAGGAUGGGUCACAUGCAGCCCUGCUGCUGGACCUUGUCUCCCCCAGGUUCCGGGCUGGCUGUGGGCAUCAGCCGGACAGUGUGCACUCCCAUCAUUUCCUUCUCUGCCCCCACAAAUGGUGACCGAAUUCUCUUGCUGCCUUCCCCCUCCAGGGCUGAGCCACGAGGCUUUCCGCCCAGGGAAGGAGACACUUAGAGCCUCAAGGUCUGUGCCUCAGAGCUGCCAGCUCUCUGGGCUGAAGAGAGCUGCCUCGCCCAAGGGCACACACCUUUCCAAGGGCAGCCCGUGUCCAACAGUGAUCAGCUUGGGAUACAAAGCUCGAUGCCUUCACCCCAACUUGGGACCCCCAGCUCUUGAGCUCCCUGAGCCCGUGGUUGAGACUGUAUCACAGCCCGCCUUCUCCCUCUGCCUGGUUCUGCUCAGUCCCUUUCCUGCCUCCACCAGCCUGACCCCUAGAGGACACGCUGACACACUUGCUGCAGGCCAGGCUGCACCUGAGGGCGGCUUCCCUAGGAACCCAAUUGUGGGAGGUUUUUGGGGGAGGGAGGGACUCGGGGUCAGUCUUCGGGGCCCUCUCAGUCCCCGCAGAGUUGGGAAGAAGCCCAGCAGAUCUCACAUGCUUCCCUGGGAGGUCUCAGGACAGCUCCUGUAGAAAAUGAGGCAGGGCACAGCCUACGGGGGACAGUGGCACUGACCGAGCCAAAGCGGAGGAGACCCAAGGUCGCCAGGACUCAGCAGAGGUUGCCUGCAGAAUCCAGGUUCAGGACAGACCCACCUCAUCUCAGCUGUCACCCUCCCAGGGGUGGGACAUUUAUCUUUGAUACCAGCUAUAGGAAAUUAAUAAUCUAUAUAAUCCUUGCCCACCUGAAGGGAGUGUAUGCCAGUUGCCCUAACAUCAUGACAGGACUGGUGUGAGGGCUGUGCUGUCAGGGAAAUAGGUCUGGAAUGGAGGGUGCUAUAGACUGAAUGUCUGUGUCCCCCCAAAAUUCAUAUGUCGAAAUCCUAACCCCCAAUGUGAUGGAGCUGGGAGGUGGGGCCUUUGGAAGGUGACUGGGUGAUGAGGACAGAGCCCUCAGGAAUGGGAUUAGCGCCCAUACAGAAGAGACUCUGGAAAGCUCCCCGCUCCCUUCCAUGACGUGAGGACACAGGGAGAAGCUGGCCGCCUGUGAGCCAGGAAGCAGGCCCUCACCAGACAGAGAAUCUGCUGGCGCCUUGAUCUUGGACUUCCAGCCUCCAGAACCGUGAGAAAUACAUUUCUCUUGUUUGUAAGGCACCCAGACCUGGUAUUUUGUUAUAGCAGCCCAAACAGACUAAGACAGAGGGUAAGAAGAGGAUGCUGGGGAAAUCCUCUGGGGUCCCUGAUGGCUUGCCCAUGCGAGGGGGCCAUCAGUUCAGAUGUUGAGCUUCAAAAACCUACUGUGUAGUAGGGAAGACAAGAUUUAGACACACCAACUGUAAUUCCAUCUUUGGAUACCUGCUGGUCCAGGUACAAGGCUGGGCACUUGAGGGAUGCCGGCUGGGCCUGCUCCAGGAGCUUGCAGUGUGGCUAUGACAUGUACACGUCACAGCAGUAUGAGACAUUAGCACGUGGUGUCAGCAACUACGCACUUACUCCAUGGAAGAGAAACACAAAGACUACAGGUGUCCGGGUGGAGGCCACAUGCUCUCCCGCUGGGGCACACAGGAAAAGCUGCACACUUGGAGCAAUGAGGUGAGAAAAGGUCCUUAAAAACACUCCCAGAGUUCUGAGGAGGAGACUGCACAAUCACAGGCAUGGUCACAUCCUUCUCCAGCACAGGCCACACUCGCCUGUCUCUGCGAGGGCCGGGACCACGGGGACCAGGUCUUCUUCCUCUCAUCCUUGCCACAUUAGCACCCAGCACAGGCCCUGGAGCUUAGUGGGCUCCUCUGCUGCACCGCACUGCCUUGCAAGGAGGGGGAGCCCAGUCCCGUCUCUCAGGGAAACUGGGGACUUGGGACUCCAGGGUCGAGUUGCUCCCAAAGGUGGAGAAGCUUUCUUCAAUCUGUGGGGUUUUC
rnacentral:lncRNA from 1 species